UACGUAGGGUGCGAGCGUUGUCCGGAAUUAUUGGGCGUAAAGAGCUUGUAGGCGGUUUGUCGCGUCUGCUGUGAAAUUUCGGGGCUCAACCCCGAACUUGCAGUGGGUACGGGCAGACUAGAGUGUGGUAGGGGAGGCUGGAAUUCCUGGUGUAGCGGUGAAAUGCGCAGAUAUCAGGAGGAACACCGAUGGCGAAGGCAGGUCUCUGGGCCAUAACUGACGCUGAGAAGCGAAAGCAUGGGGAGCGAACAGG
rnacentral:rRNA from 1 species